AUUCUAGUAAAAAACAAGCCAAAAAACUCGAAAAACUGUUGUCUGGACAGGCAACUCGCCGAGCCCCAUAUUGGACUCGACGAGUCCAAGGUAAACUACAACUUACUCGUCAAGUACAAGAAUGGACUCGCCACAAAACUUAUGCGAAGGGUGAAGGAAUGCAUCAGCUUGUGCAUGGAAGUCUAAANGUGCAUGGAAGUCUAAAUGCGGUAAAUGUGAACGGAAUCGCCACUCUCGCAAAGAAUGCACCCUAGAAGUAGAAUUGUGUCAUCAUUGUCAUCAGCUUUCAUCAGCCUACUCAUAUCAUGGCAGAUUUCUAGCGAUUAGUGGUUGGGGUGGCUCAGGUUGAAUUGCGAGUGCUUCUACAGGGAGGGGGAGCAGAACCCUACGACACUACAGGUAUGUAUCAUAUUCUUCUCUUUUUCGCUUAAAUCAUUAUGCUAAUAAUUCCAUAACUUGAGGACAAGUUAUGGAUUCCACCAAAAUCAAUUAGAUCAAAAAUUCUAACUAAAAAAUCAAACAAUUUGCAUAUGAUCUAAUUAAACUCAUAAGAUAAGAUAAUUCAUAUCAAACAAGUUUCAAGAAAUUAGCCUAACCAUAUAAACUAAUACAAAUCAUGAAACUUUGACAAUUAUCCUUUGUUUGGAUGAUAAUCAUCAUUACCAUAUCAACAAAAUCAGAUUUUAUUAACUAAAAUAUUUUUUGGUAAUGAUUCUAAUCCAAAACAGGCCAAAACACUCGCAAAAUUGUUGUCUGGUUAGGCAUCAAGUCGAUCCCCAUACUGGACUCAACGAGUCCAAUGUAAACUUCAACCUACUCGUCAAGUACAAGAAUGGACUCACCACGUAACUGAUGCGAAGGGUGAAGGAAUGCAUGACCUUGUACAUGGAAGUCUAAAUGCGGUAAGUGUGAACGGAAUCGCCACUCUCGCAAAGAAUGCACCCUAGAAGUAGAAUUGUGUCAUCAUUGUCAUCAGCCUACUCAUAUCAUGGCAAAUUUCUAGCGUUUGGCGGUUGGGGUGGCUCAGGUUGAUUUGCGAGUGCUUCUACAGGGA
rnacentral:lncRNA from 1 species